GGCAUGGUGUAGUGGUUUUAGCAUUGGAUUAUGAAUCUGGAGACCAGGGUUCAGAUCCCUGCUCAGCCA
rnacentral:tRNA from 1 species